GAACUUUUUAGUACAAAUCUACAAACUUUUUGUGAAUAUUCUACGCAGAGUGUCAUUUUCAUGCGAACAGUGCAAACCCAGCCGAGAGCUAUUUGUCGUACAAUUAGAUAGACGCAAGUCAAAGGUCACCUAUUGAGAUUAAGACGCACUACGGCAAGACAAACACAGUUAUUCGUCGCAUUUAACAAACUGUUUUGCAUCGUGAUACAGUAAUGUGGACCGAAUUUGAUUUGAAAGUAUCAGUUGAGUCAAGAGAUUUCACCAAGAAAUCCUAUUUCGAAGAAACACCAUUUCUAAGACUAAUUCAAAGUUGAUUUAAUUGAUAAGUCCGAUGACUUCGACUAUAAAACACAUUCGCUGUUUUGCUUGGCUUCAGAGUGAGUUUCACAGUUGCAGUGGACAGUGGACAGUACACAGAAUACAAUAGCAAGAUGAAUCCAUAUAUUUUGUUUGCAUUUUUAUUGUUAGCAAUCAGCCAAGUUUAUGAUGUUGUUGGACAUGAAUAUCCCGAUGAUGAUGAAGGGUGGCCCGAACCUAUUCUCCACAAUUAGUUUUCGAAUAAAAGCAAUUAUUUGUCAAGAGAACCUACCAUCUUCCUAUAAUAAUAACUAGAUUGUGAACCGAAUAGACAAAAUAUGAUUGACUUUGAUUGCGAUGACUGGCUGAAUCAAUAAGUUUCAUCAAGAACUCAUAUCUCAAAGAAAUGCCAUUUGCAGUGGCGUAACUGGGUGUUUUGUUAAAACAGCAGAAAGCAAAAAAUUGAGUUGAAUAAAAUCAUUUGAUGGAAAUAUUAAACUAAA